UGCUGGUUCCUUCCUCAGGAGUCUUCUGUGUCCUACUGUGAGGCAGUAUGAGGAGAGUAGGGCCAUUAAACUUGUUUGGACUGAGACAAUCACUUUCUGCCCGGUUGGAGUCUAAGAAGAAACACCAUGGAGCUUCAUGAAUGGAGUGGCCAGACUGCCCGGGGAACAUUGAUCUGUACCCCACAACAACCCAGAGCUCAGAACAUAAACAAAGACACAUUUGGAAGCUCCUGUGGAGACCGAUAUCCAAGAUCAACAGAUCCUGCAAUUUGCUACUUCCUCCUCCCCCCCUCUCCUCCGAGGGGGCUUAUGUAAGUCUCCCCUGGGG